AAGGGAGACCUAAUUCGGGUAGAAGACGAAAAAAUAGUAGUCGAAACCAAGAAUCAAUCCCAAAAGGUCGGAACGAGGUAUGUGGCUUUCAAACUAGGUUCUGGGUUCACAAAAGACCUGAAUCAGGAACAAGGGCUAUUAGCUCAGGUGGUUAGAGCGCACCCCUGAUAAGGGUGAGGUCCCUGGUUCGAGUCCAGGAUGGCCCACCUGCACAGGUGGCAAAAACAAGAGAAACGAGGAAUCAGCACCUUAUCUUACUUACAUAGUGAGAGAGAAUGCUGGCUCUGAGUAAAGAGUCCAGAGGAACCUUGAAAACUGCAUAGAGCUAGGUGAAAAAGCCAAAAAAGAAGACCGCAA
rnacentral:tRNA from 1 species